AUACUUAACUGGCCAGGGAGGUACCAUGAUCACAAAGGUAGUUUUCCCAGGACAAGGCCUAUUCAUUGCACUCUGGAUAUAAUGCCCCCUGUUAUUUCCCCAAAUAUGGGAAACUCGAUUAUAUAAUUUGUGGCAGUGGAGAAGUGCUAUGAAACUACCUUUGA
ensembl:snRNA U1 U1 spliceosomal RNA